rnacentral:rRNA from 1 species
CCCUUAGACGUUCUGGGCCGCACGCGCGCUACACUGACCAGCGCAACAAGCAUCCGUCCUUGGCCGACAGGCUCGGGCAAUCUUUGAACGCUGGUCGUGAUGGGGAUAGACUUUUGCAAUUUUUGGUCUUCAACGAGGAAUUCCUAGUAAACGCAAGUCAUCAACUUGCAUUGAUUACGUCCCUGCCCUUUGUACACACCGCCCGUCGCACCUACCGAUUGAAUGGUCCGGUGAAGCCUCCGGAUUGGCGCGCACCUCGGUGCCGCCGAGAAGUUGGCUAAACCUUACCAUUUAGAGGAAGGUGAANUCGUANCA